CAGCUUGCGAUUGGACCCAGCGAGGACUAGGGGCGGGGCAGAGGCGGGCGGUGCCCAGGCGCCUUGGAGCGCGGGAUGCACAGCACGUUCCGCCUGGGCUACCCGCAGCCUGGUCCAGCCCUGUCCCCAUGGGGCCUGAGUGCUGAAGCUGGCCCAGUGGCCUCUGGUCUCUUUCCCGUUGGUUCGUUCUGGCUAAGGUCUUCAAAAGACACUAAUGCAUACGUGGGAAGUACAAAGUGUGUCUAGCCCGGUGUGGUGGCACAUACUUGUCAUCUAGCGCUUGAAAAUCUGAAGCAGGAGAAUGGAUUGCUCACAAUUCGAUCGGCCUGGCUGCAAGAGUGAGACACUCCCAGAAAGCAAAACCAAAAGGCUGGUGACGUACAUCUGCCACAGGAAAGCGUCCCCAUUUGCUAAUUCUCUCUUUGACCUGUAUCCGGUGAAGAGCUCAGAAAAGAAAGCAUGGAUAAAAUAUGGCCUCUUCCCAUGUGAGGGCAGAAACGAGGCCCCGAACAAGCCAUCCUGGCCCAGCAUUCAUCUGGCUGACAAGCUGGCUUCCUCCAUGGCCCGGCUAGCUGCAAUUCAACCUAGAGUCGACUGAGGGUGGCCCGCCUGACAACCCAGUUUGUGAAUUAUUUAUGAAGCCCUUUGUCAGUCAUGUGUGCUGAGAGUUCAUCACAGAACAAGAGACCCGCGUGCUGCUUUUGUGUGUUUGUAUGGUGGAGGAAAACAGAUCCAGGUGAGAGAGAAAUAAGUAAGCAUGGCUGAGUUGGCAGGUGCUUAGGAGAAAAGGGAGCAGAGCAGAGUGGCAUGUGGGGGCUGGGCAGUGUGUUUCCAAGCAGGUCAUCAGGGAGGUCUUAGAGACGUGGCUCCUGCAUCUAAGCAAAGACCCAGGAGUGAGCCUGUGGGUCUGGAUGGGUCACAGGCUGAAGGAUGGCCGGACCUAGGGUAGAAAGCAGGAGAGGGGGGACCAGCUGGGCACCGUGAGUGAGUACUCACCUUAGCUUUGGAAUGUUUGCCCAAGAGGAUGACAGAAGGCCGGGAGCAAAGGGAACUAUGGGAAGAGGCUCCUCUUGUAGGGGUGGGUGAGGAGGAUGGCGGAGCCCAGAGAGCUCUUAGCAGUCCAGGAGAUGAAGCCACCCCCUCACCCCCACAUGGCCAUGUUUGUGCUCUCCCAGGCUGCCUGGGACCCAGGAACCACACAGCCCUCCUGGUCCUCAUCUUAAGAGAGUUUCAGGACAGUCAGGGCUGCAGAGAAACCCUGUCUUGAGAAAACAUAAAAUAAUGAUAAUAAUAAUAAUAAUAGUAAUAAUAAUUUAAAAGAUGGCAAGCAUUUGUUUCAGAGGAUAGUCUUGUGCAACCAUUGGUUCUUUCCUUCCACUGGUAUGUUGGUUCUGGGGAUCAAACUCAGGUUUUCAGGCUGAAGUCUGAUGUGGUGGUUAGUUUUCAUUAUCAUUUUUCACACUCUGCAAUCAUGUGUAAAGUCUCAGUGAAGAGCUGCCUAGGUCGGGAGGGCCUGUGAACAUGUCUGUGGGGGGCCUGUGGACAUGUUUGUGGGGGGUCGUCUUGAUCACUGUUGCGGUGGAAAGACUCCCGCACUGUGGGCAGCACCAUUCCCUAGACAGUGGAUCCUGAACUGCAGAAAUGCAGGGAGGGAGCCGAGCACAAAUAGCAUCAAUGUAUUUAUUCUCUCUGCUCUUGUCUGGGUGUGAUGUGAUUGGCUGCUUCCAGUCCCUGCCUUGACUUCCCUGCAAUGGACUGUAAUCUGGAAUUGUGCGCUAAAAUAAACCCUUUCUCCUGUAAGUUGCUUUUUGUCAGGCUUUUUGUUUGUUUAAUUUUUUUAAGCCUCUG